UACGGGGGGGGCAAGCGUUGUUCGGAAUUACUGGGCGUAAAGCGCGUGUAGGCGGUUAUCCAAGUCGGAUGUGAAAGCCUUGAGCUCAACUCAAGAAAUGCAUUCGGUACUGGGUGACUAGAGGACCGGAGAGGAUAGUGGAAUUCCCAGUGUAGUGGUGAAAUACGUAGAGAUUGGGAAGAACACCAGUGGCGAAGGCGGCUAUCUGGACGGUUUCUGACGCUAAGACGCGAAAGCGUGGGGAGCAAACAGG
rnacentral:rRNA from 1 species